GACGAACGCUGGCGGCGCGCUUAACACAUGCAAGUCGAGCGAAGCGGCGGACGGGUGAGUAACACGUGAGUGACCUGCCUUAGACAUUGGGAUAGCAUCGGGAAACCGGGAUUAAUACCAAAUGGUCUAAGAUGGACUGUGGUCCCAUUAGAUAGUUGGUGAGGUAACGGCCCACCAAGGCGACGAUGGGUAGCCGGCCUGAGAGGGUGAACGGCCACUUUGGAACUGGGCAACGGUCCAAACUCUACGCAAGGCAGCAGUUGGUAAUAUUGCACAAUGGAGUGAACUCUGAUGCAGCGACGCCGCGUGAACGAAGAAGGCUUUCGAGUCGUAAAGUUCUUUUAUAUGGGAAGCGGUACCAUAAGAAAAAGCCCCGGCUAACUACGUGCCAGCAGCCGCGGUAAUAC
rnacentral:rRNA from 1 species